rnacentral:sRNA from 1 species
GGAUGUGAGGGCGAUCUGGCUGUGACAGAUGUCAUCCCAUUGAUCACCAGGUUGAUGUGGCUGAUUUGACUGGCUAGGCAGAUGUCCUCUUCCUCCCUCAGUGCUUCACAUGUGUCCCUCCCGAAGCUGAGCGCUCUGUCAGAGAGGACUGUCAUCCCCAAUAGAGGAGGUCCAGUCUUCCCCAGCUAGAAACAAGGUCUCAAGAUGUAAUUGGGGUGGCCUCCCAGCCAGAUU